ensembl:lncRNA
UUUUCUUCUUAGACUUAGUCUCUUUGUCUUCUCAGCUUCUCCUCCCUUAGUCUUUUAAUUUUCCUUGAGUGUACUUAUACUUAGCCUUAGAAAUAAGCACAUUUUCAUGAGAUUUUAAUUGCUGUAAGUGGUGCAGUCUUAUUUUUUUUUUCUUUCCCAUCAUCUUUUCCUCUCUGUUCUUAUUGCUAAAUGCAACAGGUAUUCCUCGGGAGUGAGGUACAUGAGCCCAAAGGUUGUGCCUGCAUGUGUCCUAGGAACACAGCUUGCAUACGUAAUAUAUGAAAAACGAAUCAAGGUGUGCCUUUGAAUCAAGGCAUGAACUCUGGUCCACAUAGUAAACAUUACUGAAAUUGAAGUCUUCAUCUACAUUGUAUCUUCCACCACUUAAAUUAUUCCCAUGUAGAAAAGAAAGAUGCAUUUAUACAGACUUUUUCUUCCAGAGUUGCCCAG